UUUAGGGCUCUUUAGGUAUCAACUAUGGGUUAGUGAACAAUAGAACACUUAACGUAAUCAAUUCAUCACUCAUCAGCGACACCCCAAUCUUCACCCUCUUUGUCGUCUCCUCUGCCACAAACCCCCCACCGUCUCUGCCAUCUCCUCCGCCACAAACCCCCACCCUCCGUCGUCUGAACGACUGAACAUCAUCACUUCAUCAGUGACGACAUCUCCGAUUAAUCAUCCUUUUCCAGUGAAGUUAGUGGCACACUGUCGUGGUACUUCACGGACAUGGUGCGUAUGGUGAAUUACUUGACAAACGUUUGCAGCUCAUUUGCAUACAGGGGAGCUAGUGGCUGUAAAGGUGCAAAGGCCCGUGGCUCAGGUGACGAACAACUGCAUGACUACCUUUGUUGAUUGGCACUUGGCAAUAUUGAAUGAUUUCAAUUUGCAUGUGCUGCCUAAUCUGUAGGUUAGAUGUUGCAAGAUUCAAUCAUGUUUUUUGGCUAGUGAGGGACUCUUGGCCUCUUUGCAAGUUCAUAUCAACUUUGAAAGAUGUAUGUUUAGUAAUAGAUUUAGAGGAUAUCAGCUUGUGUUACCAUUUUAACAAAUUUUCAUAUAAUAUUUUCUGUUGUUGAGUGAUUG
rnacentral:lncRNA from 1 species